rnacentral:rRNA from 1 species
UACGGGGGGGCAAGCGUUGUUCGGAAUUACUGGGCGUAAAGGGCUCGUAGGCGGCCAACUAAGUCGGAUGUGAAAUCCCCGGGCUUAACCUGGGAAUGGCAUUUGGGACUGCAAGGCUUGAGUGCGGCAGAGGAGACUGGAAUUCCUGGUGUAGCAGUGAAAUGCGUAGAUAUCAGGAGGAACACCGAUGGCGAAGGCAGGUCUCUGGGCUGACACUGACGCUCAUGCACGAAAGCGUGGGAGC